rnacentral:miRNA from 1 species
AAUGGAGGCAAGUGUGAAGGA